rnacentral:tRNA from 1 species
GUCGUUGGGCCGAGUGGUUAAGGCGACAGACUUGAAAUCUGUUGGGCUUAGCCCGCACAGGUUUGAAUCCUGUCAGCGACG